rnacentral:lncRNA from 1 species
AAAUAAACAGUGAAACUCUUCUCUCUUGCCCUUCUGGCCUGAUUUGAUUUAUUCAGAAAGGCUGAAAAAACUAGUCUUAUUUUAAGAUACUCUUACAAGAGACCUGGAAUUUCAUUUAACAAUUUUUUUUAUGUAAUAGAUCCAGUGGCCUAGUUUCGUGUUAAUUAAGAAAAUAGGCAUUAAAUGCAGUCACCUGAAAAGCAACUAAUGAUUUAAACAUCAGAAUUUGAAAAUAAUUGUUUUAACACCAUAGCUAGUAAAGCAAAAUAAAGGCCUAAUUUUCCCCUCGCUGAAGUUGAGCGGCCCAUCUUGGUACAUGGCAGCCAGGAUUGUCAUUGUCAUUGCUCAUGCAGUGUAGUUGCUUUUGUUGUGGUGUACUAAUUGAAGGGGAAAUGCAAUGAAGAAGUGUCGCAGGGCUUAAAGGAAAUGCGUGUCAGAAUUGCAUAGAUGGCCUGAAGCGUUCGCUGGUUGCAGACCUGCUCCAGUGUGGGAGGCGGCUCGCGCUGGUGCGCCGUGAGAGGAGUCGGGCGGUGGGGCAGUCUCAGGCCAGGCACACAGGUUCGGAGUGAGUUCCGAUCUGGGAGACUGUACAGGCACACUGUGUACAAGUCACAGAGUUCAGAUAACAGAUUUAAAUGGAGGUCCCUUUGGAGGCUACCGUAACCACCUCUGCUUUAGCAAAUAAAAAUAUAAUUAGCACAAGGAAUAGAAGUACGACAGGCUUGGCACAGCUUCUGGAUCAAGAGUCACGUUGCAGGCCAAGCCAGACGGGAAAGCAAUACAAGCUGUGA